rnacentral:rRNA from 1 species
GACGAACGCUGGCGGCGUGCUUAACACAUGCAAGUCGAACGGAAAGGCCCUGCUUUUGUGGGGUGCUCGAGUGGCGAACGGGUGAGUAACACGUGAGUAACCUGCCCUUGACUUUGGGAUAACUUCAGGAAACUGGGGCUAAUACCGGAUAGGAGCUCCUGCUGCAUGGUGGGGGUUGGAAAGUUUCGGCGGUUGGGGAUGGACUCGCGGCUUAUCAGCUUGUUGGUGGGGUAGUGGCUUACCAAGGCUUUGACGGGUAGCCGGCCUGCGGGGGUGACCGGCCAGAUUGGGACUGAGAUACGGCCCAGACUCCUACGGGAGGCAGCAGUGGGGAAUAUUGCACAAUGGGCGGAAGCCUGAUGCAGCAACGCCGCGUGCGGGAUGACGGCCUUCGGGUUGUAAACCGCUUUCGCCUGUGACGAAGCGUGAGUGACGGUAAUGGGUAAAGAAGCACCGGCUAACUACGUG